rnacentral:rRNA from 1 species
AGAGUUUGAUCAUGGCUCAGGAUGAACGCUGGCGGCGUGCUUAACACAUGCAAGUCGAACGGGAUCUUCGGAUCCAGUGGCGGACGGGUGAGUAACGCGUGGGAAUCUGCCUCCGGGAGGGGGAUAACAUCCGGAAACGGUUGCUAAUACCCCAUAUGCCCUUGGGUGAAACGAAUUUCGCCCGGAGAUGAGCCCGCGUCUGAUUAGCUGGUUGGUGGGGUAACGGCCCACCAAGGCGACGAUCAGUAGCUGGUCUGAGAGGAUGAUCAGCCACACUGGGACUGAGACACGGCCCAGACUCCUACGGGAGGCAGCAGUGGGGAAUUUUCCGCAAUGGGCGCAAGCCUGACGGAGCAACGCCGCGUGGGUGACGACGGCCUACUGGUUGUAAAACCCUUUUGUCGGGGACGAACGCAAUGACGGUACCCGGCGAAUAAGCAUCGGCUAACUCCGUGCCAGCAGCCGCGGUAAUAC